rnacentral:rRNA from 1 species
GACGAACGCUGGCGGCGUGCUUAACACAUGCAAGUCGAACGGAAAGGCCCCUUUGGGGGUACUCGAGUGGCGAACGGGUGUGUAACACGUGAGUAACCUGCCCUUGACUUCGGGAUAACUUCAGGAAACUGGGGCUAAUACCGGAUAGGAAUCCUUGCUGCAUGGUGGGGGUUGGAAAGCUUCGGCGGUUUUGGAUGGACUCGCGGCUUAUCAGCUUGUUGGUGGGGUAGUGGCUUACCAAGGCUUUGACGGGUAGCCGGCCUGAGAGGGCGACCGGCCACAUUGGGACUGAGAUACGGCCCAGACUCCUACGGGAGGCAGCAGUGGGGAAUAUUGCACAAUGGGCGGAAGCCUGAUGCAGCAACGCCGCGGGCGGGAGGACGGCCUUCGGGUUGUAAACCGCUUUCAGCAGGGGCGAAGCUUGUGGUGACGGUACCUGCAGAAGAAGCACCGGCUAACUACGUG